rnacentral:rRNA from 1 species
UAGGCGGCGCGGAAAGUCCGGCGUGAAAGGCAGGGGCUCAACCUCUGGACUGCGUUGGAUACUUCCGUGCUUGAGGACUGGAGGGGAGACUGGAAUUCACGGUGUAGCAGUGAAAUGCGUAGAUAUCGUGAGGAAGACCGGUGGCGAAGGCGAGUCUCUGGACAGAUCCUGACGCUGAGGCACGAAGGCUGGGGGAGCGAACAGGAUUAGAUACCCUGGUAGUCCCAGCAGUAAACGAUGUGAGCUUGAUGUGGGGGGAUUCGACCCCUUCCGUGUCGAAGCUAACGCGAUAAGCUCACCGCCUGAGGAGUACGGCCGCAAGGCUAAAACUCAAAGAAAUUGACGGGGACCCGCACAAGCGGUGGAGUAUGUGGCUUAAUUCGAUGCAACGCGAAGAACCUUACCUGGCCUUGACACGCAUUGUGUCGUCGGUGAAAGCCGGCUAGUCCUGGAAACAGGACGCUUUGCACAGGUGCUGCAUGGCUGUCGUCAGCUCGUGUCGUGAGAUGUUGGGUUAAGUCCCGCAACGAGCGCAACCCUUGUGGUCAGUUACUAACCGGCUUAGCCGGAGGACUCUGGCCAGACUGCCCUGUCAAACGGGGAGGAAGGUGGGGACGACGUCAAGUCAGUAUGGCCCUUAUGGCCAGGGCUGCACACGUACUACAAUGCCCGGUACAAUGCGAACCGAAACCGCGAGGUGGAGGAAAUCGCUCUUGAAAACCGGGCCCAGUUCGGAUU